rnacentral:rRNA from 1 species
UUAAACAGUACGUGAAAUUGCUUAAAGGGAAGCAUAUAAAGCUAGGAUGCGAUUGUUUUCUUCAGGUUGAGCUUUGGCUUGACUGUUCAGAAGGAUAAUCCAAGACAACAAGAAUUGGAGGAGGAGAAUAAGCCAUUGGGGAAGGUAAUCCUUCGGGAUGUUUAUAGACCUGAUGGUUCGCGCUCUUCUUUCGAUUGAGGUACGCUUUUUUUAAAGGUUGUUGUCUGAAUGGCUUUAUAUGGCCCGUCUUGAAACACGGACC